UUGAAUAACUUGGUACUGAUGCUGGCUCCUUCACGGGGGCAUGUGCUCGUGCUAUUUUAUUAUCAUCUCUUGUGCACCUUUUGUAGUCUUUGAAGCGUACCUGUCCGCUACUCGUCAAGAGUCGGCGGUUUGGGGGGGUUGAACUCGUUCUCUCCCUGCUUCGAUUCAAAGACUAUGUUUACUACACCCUAUAAUAAAGUUAAAGAAUGUCUUGUUAUUGACUGCAAAGUCAGUAAACUCUAUA
rnacentral:misc_RNA from 1 species